rnacentral:miRNA from 1 species
GUUGGCCAAAAUGUUCGUUGGGGUUUUUCCAUUCAUCUUACGGAAAAACGCGAAUGAAUCUUUUGGCCAA